GAUACAUCUCUAGGAUAUUUAUCUAGCUUCUCUCCUGGGCUAAGCAUAACAAGGCCCACUCAGCCACACUAGAUACAAGCCCACUCAGGCCCACUCAGUCUCUUGCUCCUUGCCCUUGCUCUACUGGACCUCCUUGGAUGGGCUGCCGCGUCAGGAUCACCUGAAUGUGGGGCGCUGACAUCUGGGGAAAUAAAGUUCAGUGAGUGUAGCUUCUGGGGAAAUUACAGGCUAUCGAUGUCACGUAUGAAGCUUCUCGGUGCCUUACCUGAUAAUAAUAGCACGUUGGAUAAAUAUAACCUAAUAAUAAACUUAGCUCAUCUAGAUGAUAUACUAGGCACCGAACGACGAUGUCAUGUACUGAGAUAUAUGUACCACCGGUUUUCAACUUCCCCAUUUACUUCAAUUAAUCAGUAGGUGUCACCUCUCUUGUUUUCAUCAAAAGAAAAUAGCAGUGCAAUUUUCACUCAAAAGUACAACUUGAAGUAGAAAUAUAAAUGUGUCAAUGAUGUUCACUCAAUGGAGUCCCAAUGGUACUGUCGGCUUAUGAAUUAUGAAUUAUGAUUGUGUUUGCUGUAGAGAGCACGUGCUUUCUUAAUUAAGUUUGCGAUAUGCAUGCAUGUGUGAGGUGCAGGAUACAGUUUAAUGCUUGAUUGGGACAAGUAUAUAAGAAGACAGAUGGAUAUGAUAGGCCAAAUACAAGCAAUGGCAUGCCUGGGUAUAAGAACAUCGAAAGAGGAAAGGCCACCAGCUAGAGGGUGGAAAUGCUAUUGGAUAUAUCAAAGACGUUGGCAUAGACUAGAUAGGCUUGGGUGGUAUCUGGAAUUCAAUUGUAGCAAAGCUCCUCAGAGACUCAAAUGUGGCAAAACAAAACGUAGUGAAGCCAGAUUGGUAGUUUUCUCCUUCAGGAACGCCUGGCCGUGGAUAUGUGGGUGGUUGAGUCCGUGAUGGAGCAAUUCUUAAUGGCGUGCAAGUUGUGCGCUCUGUUGAAUAUGUUCCAAAUUCAAUUGCAUAUUAUAAAGACCGACUUCUAACGGAGCAAAGCUAAGGCCCGUUGAAACUGAAGGCUGCACCAGAGAGAAGUGGAGUUUGAAGUGGCCCAUAGGUGUGCGCCCUCGUUGUCACUUGGGGGUGUGGGGGCUACCCCCGUGGUACGGCAUAUAUCCUGUGUUAGGGUUUCAUUGAGAUAAUGUUUGCUGGCUGGCGCCCGUGGUUUUACCCCUUCACAUUGGAGGGGUCUUCCAUGUUAAAUCUUGUGUCUCUACUG
rnacentral:lncRNA from 1 species